rnacentral:rRNA from 1 species
GAUGAACGCUGACAGAAUGCUUAACACAUGCAAGUCAACUGUGGCGGACGGGUGAGUAACGCGUAAAGAACUUGCUUCACGGUUAGGGACAACAUUUGGAAACGAAUGCUAAUACCUGAUACUGUGAGAGAGCUUUGCGUCCCAUUAGCUAGUUGGAGAGGUAACGGCCCACCAAGGCGAUGAUGGGUAGCCGGCCUGAGAGUGUGAUCGGCCACAAGGGGACUGAGACACGGCCCUUACUCCUGCGGGAGGCAGCAGUGGGAAAUAUUGGACACUGGACCAAAGUCUGAUCCAGCAAUUCUGUGUGCACGAUGAUGUUUUCAGGAUGUAGGGUGCUUUCAGUUGGGAAGCGGUACCAGCAGAAGAAGUGACGGCUAAAUACGUGCCAGCAGCCGCGGUAAUAC